GGCUCCGUAGCUCAACUGAAUAGAGCAUCAGAUUUCGGCUCUGAGGGUUGGGGGUUUGAAUCCCUCCGGGGUCA
rnacentral:tRNA from 2 species